UGUUUGAAAGAGAGGGCAUUUCUGGCCACAUUCCUGGGCAUUUCCCAUUUUCGUUCCUGUUUCUUCGAGAAAGUGUUUGAAAGAGAGGGCAUUUCUGGCCACAUUCCUGGGCAUUUCCCAUUUUCGUUCCUGUUUGUUCGAGGAAGUGUUUGAAAGAGAGGGCAUUUCCCAUUUUCGUUCCUGUUUCUUCGAGAAAGUGUUUGAAAGAGAGGGCAUUUCUGGCCACAUUCCUGGACAUUUCCCAUUUUCGUUCCUGUUUCUUCGAGAAAGGGUUUGAAAGGGAGAAUACUUCUAAACACAUUCCUGGGCAUUUCCAUUUUUCGUGAUUGGUUCUCGAUAAAGGGUUUGAAAGGGAGAACACUUCUGGCCACAUUGCUGGGCAUUUCCAUUUUUCGGGAUUGUUUCUCAAGAAAGAUGAGUGCUCGUGCAAGCUGGUUACCUGUUCCGCCUACCCAUAUUUUUUCCCUUGCAGUGUUUGAAAGGGAGAGCAUUUCUGUUCACAUUCCUGGGCAUUUCCAUUUUUCGUGAUUCUUUAUUCGACUAAGUGUUUGAAAGGGAGAGGAUUUCUGGCCACCAUGAGUGAUCAUUAUCCAUUGUACAUGGUUAAUAAACUAUGCUUGAUCAAAGUCA